rnacentral:rRNA from 1 species
GACGAACGCUGGCGGCGUGCUUAACACAUGCAAGUCGAACGGAAAGGCCCUGCUUUUGUGGGGUGCUCGAGUUGCGAACGGGUGAGUAACACGUGAGUAACCUGCCCUUGACUUUGGGAUAACUUCAGGAAACUGGGGCUAAUACCGGAUAGGAGCUCCUGCUGCAUGGUGGGGGUUGGAAAGUUUCGGCGGUUGGGGAUGGACUCGCGGCUUAUCAGCUUGUUGGUGGGGUAGUGGCUUACCAAGGCUUUGACGGGUAGCCGGCCUGAGAGGGUGACCGGCCACAUUGGGACUGAGAUACGGCACAGACUCCUACGGGAGGCAGCAGUGGGGAAUAUUGCACAAUGGGCGGAAGGCUGAUGCAGCAACGCCGCGUGCGGGAUGACGGCCUUCGGGUUGUAAACCGCUUUCGCCUGUGACGAAGCGUGAGUGACGGUAAUGGGUAAAGAAGCACCGGCUAACUACGUG